UACGGGGGGAGCAAGCGUUGUUCGGAUUUACUGGGCGUAAAGGGCGCGUAGGCGGCCACCGCAAGUCGAUUGUGAAAUCUCCGGGCUUAACCCGGAAAGGUCAACCGAUACUGCGGGGCUAGAGUGCAGAAGGGGCAACUGGAAUUCUCGGUGUAGCGGUGAAAUGCGUAGAUAUCGAGAGGAACACCUGCGGCGAAGGCGGGUUGCUGGGCUGACACUGACGCUGAACUGCGAAAGCUAGGGGAGCGAACGGG
rnacentral:rRNA from 1 species